GAUCCUGCAUGGAAAUAUGAUCUAGGAUUUGAUCCAUUAUUCAAGCCGCUAGAUACAAAUGAUACAUUACUUACAUAGUGAUGGAUGAUCACUAUAUAAGUACUUGAUGAUAUUAUGUUGUUUUGAUGUUUUGUAAUGAUACAUUACUAUGACGUUGGUUAUUUAUGUCUUCUAUGACCUUAAUUGUAAUGAUGAAUUAUUUUAUGAUUUUAUUAGUAUUUUUUCAUAAUUUUUUGGGGACUUGUGUCUUUAAAUCAAGGCUUCCGCCUCGCUCCGCCUCAAGGCUUACGCCUCGCAUAGCCCAGAGAAAAAUGCCUCGUACCGAU
rnacentral:lncRNA from 1 species